rnacentral:rRNA from 1 species
GAGGGUAGGGAAGCGUUAUCUUAGCGUUGUAGUCCGUGGCGAGAGUCCAGAUGGAGCAAAGAGAAGUGAGAAUGUUGGUAUGAGUAACCACAAAGAAGGUGGAAAUCCUUCUGGCCGGAAACCCAAGGUUUCCAUGGCAAUGAUCGUCAGCCAUGGGUUAGGCGGUCCUAAGGCGAAGCCCCAAUCGGGCGUAGCCGAAGGAGAUGUGGAUUAAUAUUUCCACCCUUCAAUCAUUUUCUGAACAGCGACGCAAUCUGGCGUUUUGAAGGGAUAACAGGUUUUCUUUAGGUGAAUUAUUUCACCGAUUUCAAAACAAAAGAUUGCCUGGAAAAGCUGGUAGGGUUAAAGUGAUUGAAUCCGUACCUAAAACCGACACAGGUGGGUUGGUGUUAGUGCACCAAGGCCAACGAGUGAUGUCUCCCGAAGGAACUCGGCAAAAAAGCGGUCGUAAGUUCGCAAUAAGACCUCUCCGAACCAAAACUUUGUUUUGGUUCGGGGCGCAGCGAAAGUAUCUCUGGGGACUGUUUACUAAAAACACAGGCUCCUGCUAUAACUCGAAAGAGGAUGUAUAGGAGCUGAAGCCUGACCAGUAUCUAGGUGUUAAUGUUGCAGGUCUUUGGGUUUUUACCUGAAGGCUUAGCGAUUUAAGCCCUAGAUGAACGUCGGCGGUAACUCUGACCGUCCUAAGGUACCGUAAUCCCUUGUCGGGUAAGUUCCGACCCGCAGGAAAGGCUUCACCACUGGAGAACUGUCUCCGGGAGACGCUCGGUGAAAAUUCGAGGGGGGUAAAGACGCCCCAUACUCGCACCAAGACGGAAAGACCCCGAGAGCUUUACUAUAUCCAGACAUUGAUUUAUGAUUUUAUGUGCAGAGCGUAGGUGGGAGGCGAUGAAGUUUGGUUUCCGGGCCAAAUGGAGCCGACAAUGGAACACCACCCAUGUAAAAUCUUAAAUCUUAUCUUUUCGAGACAGUGUCUGGUGGGUAGUUUAGAUGGGGCAUCUGCCUCCUAAAAGGUAACGGAGGCGUGCAUAAGGUUGGCUAGCUCCGGAUGGAAAUCGGAGCGAUAGGGUAAACCCAUAAGCCAGCUUAACUGCGAUUAAGACAUUGAGAGCAGGUGGGAAACCAGGCGUUAGUGAACCGAUGGUUGUUCGUAGGAACGCCAGAGAUCAUCGACCAAAAGCUACCUCGGGGAUAACAGGCUAGUAGGGCCCGCGAGUUCACAUCAACGGCCCUGUUCGGCACCUCGAUGUCGGCUCGUCGCAUCCUGGGGGUGGAGAAGCUCCCAAGGGUUUGGCUGUUCGCCAAUUAAAGCGAUGCGUGAGUUGGGUUUAGACCGUCGUGAGACAGGUCGGUCCUUGUCUGGUGUGAGCGUCUGAGGCUUGAGGGAGGUCCGGGGUGGUACGAGAGGACCCUCUGGAACCAAUCUCUGGUGUACCAGUUGUCGAAACCUUUCGCACGGCUGGAAAGCCACAUUGGGUUGUGAUAAGGGCUGAAAGCAUCUCAAGCCCGAAGCCAUUCCCAAGAUUAGGCCUCAUUGAGCCCGCUCGGAGAUUACGAGCUUGAUAGGGU